AUUUAAAUAGUUUAAUUAAAACGUUGGUUUGUGGAACCAGAGAUAUAUUUAGUAUUUUAAAUU
rnacentral:tRNA from 1 species